rnacentral:rRNA from 1 species
CUGGGUUUGACAUACACCGGAAAGCGCUAGAGAUAGUGCCCCUUUUGUCGGUGUACAGGUGGUGCAUGGCUGUCGUCAGCUCGUGUCGUGAGAUGUUGGGUUAAGUCCCGCAACGAGCGCAACCCUCGUCCUAUGUUGCCAGCGGGUUAUGCCGGGGACUCAUAGGAGACUGCCGGGGUCAACUCGGAGGAAGGUGGGGAUGACGUCAAGUCAUCAUGCCCCUUAUGUCCAGGGCUUCACGCAUGCUACAAUGGCCGGUACAAAGGGCUGCGAUCCUGUGAGGGUGAGCGAAUCCCAAAAAGCCGGUCUCAGUUCGGAUUGGGGUCUGCAACUCGACCCCAUGAAGUCGGAGUCGCUAGUAAUCGCAGAUCAGCAACGCUGCGGUGAAUACGUUCCC